AUGUUAUUUUAUAUCAAAAAGAUAAAUAAUGGUAACUGUUUUAUAUUUCUAUUUUACGCGAAAACGACCCCCAGGUGACCCCUUGAACUGAUUGGUUGCGUUGGAGUAGGAGAGCUCAAUGAGCGAUGUUUGGUUGUAUUAGCUUAGCGUUAGCUCAUAUGCUAAAGACUGACGUUUCACUUGUCAAACCAGGGCUGCAAUGUGUCUAAAUGGAGGAAUGCAUCCCUUAAAAAGGAACCAGGGUGGAAGAACCAAUAAAGGACUGGACGCCGUGUCAAAAACAGACGGAUUUAUAUCCAUAAGGAUAAUUGCGCUUGACUACAAUUAUUGAUAAAGAAAGUUCUGGAAAAAGCCUGGAACGCUGACGGUGAAAAGAAAGCUCGCACUGCAAGCUGGAAAAUGAAAAUGUCACACCAAAGUGAAACAUCGCCUUGAGUGCUGCUAGGCUGGGAGUCCAAGUGCAAACGCCCCCAGAAUGCAAGGACAUAAAUCUUCCCAUGGAGCCAGUGUGUGAUGACUCUUGCCAACAAAAGAAGCGGGUCCUGAGGAGCGAGAGGCAUGCAGAGACUCGACACGGGAGAAUCCACAGGAUGUCGACCUCCAGCCCGAAUCACCUCCGCUGUUAUUUGAAGACCUCUAAUCAGUGAGCGCAGGCUGGUGUUACCGUUCCAGGAAAUCAGUCCAG